AGCCUUCUGUAUCCGUGCUGAGAUUUCGUCACACACCAGACCACAAGGGCUGAUGAG
rnacentral:pre_miRNA from 1 species